rnacentral:rRNA from 1 species
AACGCUAGCUACAGGCUUAACACAUGCGAGUCGCGGGGUAACGAGAGGGAAGCUUGCUUUCCUUGUCGACGACCGGCGCACGGGUGAGUAACGCGUAUCCAACCUGCCCAUUACCACGGGAUACCCCGUCGAAAGGCGGCCUAAUACCGUAUGCAGUCGUCAGAUGACAUCAGAGGACGACGAAAGGAUUGGCGGUAAUGGAUGGGGAUGCGUCUGAUUAGGUAGUUGGAGGGGUAACGGCCCACCAAGCCAUCGAUCAGUAGGGGUUCUGAGAGGAAGGUCCCCCACAUUGGAACUGAGACACGGUCCAAACUCCUACGGGAGGCAGCAGUGAGGAAUAUUGGUCAAUGGGCGCGAGCCUGAACCAGCCAAGUAGCGUGAGGGAUGACGGCCCUAUGGGUUGUAAACCUCUUUUAUGCGGGAAUAAAAUGUUUGACGUGUCAUACAUUGUAGGUACCGCAAGAAUAAGGACCGGCUAAUUCCGUGCCAGCAGCCGCGGUAAUACGGAAGGUCCAGGCGUUAUCCGGAUUUAUUGGGUUUAAAGGGAGCGUAGGCCGCAAGUCAAGCGUGUUGUGAAAUGCAGGGGCUCAACCUCUGGAUUGCAGCGCGAACUGGCAUGCUUGAGUACGCACGAGGUAGGCGGAAUUUGUGGUGUAGCGGUGAAAUGCUUAGAUAUCACGAAGAACUCCGAUUG